CUGGUCUGCAGGAGGAGUAAGUAAGGGAUAACGGCCACCGAGGUGUCCUGUUAUACGGAAUUAAUGGACGAGGACGAGGGGCAAAAAACUCCCCGACGCACAGCGGAGUCCAUUAAUUCCGUAUAACUGGACGCACCUCGAUAUCCCGCUUAUCACCCGGUUGCCAC